rnacentral:rRNA from 1 species
GAUGAACGCUGGCGGCGUGCCUAAUACAUGCAAGUCGAGCGAACAGACGAGGCGCUUGCUCCUCUGACGUUAGCGGCGGACGGGUGUGUAACACGUGGAUAACCUACCUAUAAGUCUGGGAUCACUUCGGGAAACCGGCGCUAAUACCGGAUAAUAUAUUGCACCGCAUGGUUCAUUAGUGAAAGUCGGUUUUGCUGUCACUUAUAGCUGGAUCCACGCCGCAUUAGCUAGUUGGUACGGUAACGGCUUACCAAGGCAACGAUGCGUAGCCGACGUGCGAGGGUGAUCGGCGACACGGGAAGGGAGACACGGACCAGACGCCUACGGGAGGCAGCAGUAGGGAAUGUUCCGCAAUGGGCGAAAGCUUGACGGAGCAACGCCGCGUGAGUGAUGAAGGUCUUGGGAGCGGAAAACUCUGUUAUGAGGGAAGAACAAAUGUGUAAGGAACUAUGCACGGCUUGACGGUAACUAAUCAGAAAGCCACGGCUAACUACGUG